AUUUAUCAUCAAUUUACAGCAGAGAAAACAGAAGAAAUUACCUAGUGGUAGGAUAUUACUUCUCAAAAGAAUGAGCUAUCAAAUAGUAAGAUAAAAAAUUUAAGUGCAGAUCCUGCCUGAGCCUGAUCACAGAAUCAUAUGCCAUAAUUUAAAGAACUUCAAUGGAGCUGGAGUUUUCAAACCAACACAAGCAGCUUUCUACCAGAAGGAAUCAGAAAAUGCAGCUUAUCUUUUUGGAAAAAUGAAAAGAAGAGUAAUCUGAAGGCACCAUGUAGCUGGAUUUACACCUUUGUUGUUUCCAUCCAUAAGAAAAAUGUGUUUUUUUCCUUCCUAUAUGAUUUAUAGUCACUUCAUUGUCUUCAUGGAUCACUAAAAAGUGCAAUAGUAUUUGGUGUAUGUUUUGUUAUAUCUCAAAUACUCUGACAAUUUUGAGGAUUCAUUCUUAGGAUGUCAAAAUAAAUACCGUUUUAGGUAGAUUGGUUUCAUUUAAUUGCCUUUUUUUUAAAAAAAGUCAGUCCCAAAUGGACAUAAUCUAAAAUUUUACAUUAUCUUUACUGCAAUUAUAUUCCUUAAGAACUAAGCUUAAUAUUAUCAUAAAAUAUCACUUAUUUUAUAAAUUUCAAAAAUGAUUUAUCUUCAGAGGUAAUUCUGCAUUCCCAAAUUUCCAGCAAUUAUUCUCUCCCUGAAGUCUUUAAUCAGUUGGGUUUAAUAUUGUAGACAUUGUCUGCUAAUAUUUAAUAAUCAUGUGUAAGCAUCCUAUCCAUAUUUUAUUUAAUAUAAAGGAAAAGAUAAGGCAAAAUCAUGGUGAGCAUUCUCUUCACAAA